rnacentral:rRNA from 1 species
UCGCUACUACCGAUUGAAUGGCUUAGUGAGUUCUAGAGAUUGAGGUAUUUGAACGGCUUGUUCGUUCUCUUGCUUUGAGAACUAGCGCAAACUUGAUCAUUUAGAGGAAGUAA